UACGAAGGGGGCUAGCGUUGUUCGGAAUUACUGGGCGUAAAGCGCGCGCAGGCGGUCUUCCAAGUCAGUGGUGAAAGCCCGGAGCUCAACUCCGGAACUGCCAUUGAAACUGUUAGACUUGAGGACGAGAGAGGUGAGUGGAAUUCCCAGUGUAGAGGUGAAAUUCGUAGAUAUUGGGAAGAACACCGGCGGCGAAGGCGGCUCACUGGCUCGUUUCUGACGCUCAGGCGCGACAGCGUGGGGAUCAAACAGG
rnacentral:rRNA from 1 species